UACGAGGGGGGCAAGCGUUGUUCGGAUUUAUUGGGCGUAAAGGGUGCGUAGGCGGUUUGGCAAGUCUUAUGUGAAAUCUAUGGGCUCAACCCAUAGUCUGCAUGAGAAACUACCGGGCUUGAGUAUUGGAGAGGUGAGUGGAAUUUCCGGUGUAGCGGUGAAAUGCGUAGAUAUCGGAAGGAACACCUGUGGCGAAAGCGGCUCUCUGGGGGCGAUCUGACGCUGAGGCGCGAAAGCGUGGGGAGCAAACCGG
rnacentral:rRNA from 1 species